UCCGAAAUGUCAAACGGGUCCGCGUGCGCUUCCCUCGGAACGGACGUGCGGUCGGCAGCAUCGUCUGAACCGCCUUCCGUCCCAAAAUGUGGGAAGGGCCGAGGACCUCGUCAGGGUUCGCUGCGGCGACUCCAUCGAGCCUCAGAUCAGGCGAGGUUACCCGCUGAAUUUAAGCAUAUCAAUAAGCGGAGGAGAAGAAACUAACCAGGAUUCCCCCAGUAGCGGCGAGUGAAGCGGGAAGAGCCCAAGCCUCUAAUCUCCGUCGCGUGGCGACGGCGAAUUGUAGUCUGGAGACGGGUCAUCUCGUCGGCGCAGCCUCCCGAAGUCGUCGUGGAAAGGCGCGCCCGAGAGGGUGAGAGCCCCGUUGUCGGGAACGCUUUGCCGGCGUGACGAGGCCCCGUCGUAGAGUCGGGUUGUUUGGGAAUGCAGCCCAAAGCGGGUGGUAAACUCCAUCCAAGGCUAAGUACCGGCACGAGACCGAUAGCGAACAAGUACCGUGAGGGAAAGGUGAAAAGAACCCCGGGAGGGGAGUGAAACAGAACCUGAAACCGUACGCAAACAAACAGUGGGAGGGAGCGCUUGCGCUCCUGACCGCGUACCUUUUGCAUAAUGGGUCAGCGAGUUGCGCUUGCCGGCAAGGUUAACCGUAUAGGGAAGCCGCAGGGAAACCGAGUCUUAAUAGGGCGACACAGUCGACAGGCGCAGACCCGAAACCAGGUGAUCUAUCCAUGGACAGGUUGAAAGUUCGGUAACACGGGCUGGAGGACCGAACCCACUGAUGUUGCAAAAUCAGGGGAUGAUCUGUGGAUAGGGGUGAAAGGCCAAUCAAACCUGGAGAUAGCUGGUUCUCUCCGAAAACUAUUGAGGUAGUGCCUCGUGUUUAUCACUGCCGGGGGUAGAGCACUGUUAUGGCUAGGGGGUCACGCCGACUUACCAAACCAUGGCAAACUCCGAAUACCGGUAAGCGCAAUCACGGGAGACAGACAGCGGGUGCGAACGUCCGUUGUCAAGAGGGAAACAACCCAGACCGCCGUCUAAGGCCCCCAAGCCGUUGCUAAGUGGGAAACGAAGUGGGGGGGCACACACAGCCAGGAUGUUGGCUUAGAAGCAGCCAUCAUUUAAAGAAAGCGUAAUAGCUCACUGGUCUAGUCCCCCUGCGCGGAAAAUGUAACGGGGCUUAAGCAACGCGCCGAAGACGCGGGUGUCAGAAGGUUGAGUAAAGGGAAUUGCCCGGGGAGCCGGGCAGUUUUUACAAGGGCGGGGUUCUACCCGACUUCGCCCUGUUUGGUGGGAUUUGAGAAAUUCAGUGCCGAAUUCGGUAUAAUUUUCGACAUGAACAUCAACGCCAGCAAGGAGCUGCUUGCCACGCUUGCCUCCACCGUUGCCAUUAUCGCCUUUUUGGUGUCUUUGGCGACGCAAAUGGGCGAAAUGCGCGGCGCAAUAGAAGCCAACGGCAAGGCAAUUGCGGAGUUGCGCGACGAUGUGCGCGAUUUGCGCAACACGGUCGCCGCGAACACCGCGUCGGUCGCAGAAAUGCGCGGCACAUUGUUGUCGCACAUUGGCGGGCAUAACCAUGCGCCCGUUGUCGCCGAAGGCAAAGAGGAAGAGUGAUAUGCGCGCUUUUCCGUCAUGUGAAUUAAAGUUCCCUUUACUCAACCUUUUGACGCGGUAGGAGAGCGUUCCGUAAGCCAGUGAAGGCGGUUUGAAAGGGCCGCUGGAGGUAUCGGAAGUGAGAAUGCUGACAUGAGUAACGUUAAAACGGGUGAAAAACCCGUUCGCCGAAAGUCCCAGGUUUCCUGUGCAAUGUUAAUCAUCGCAGGGUUAGUCGAUUCCUAAGGCGAGGCCGAAAGGCGUAGUCGAUGGAAAACGGGUUAAUAUUCCCGUACCUUCGCAUGAUGCGAUGGGGUGACGGAGAGUGCUGCCUUGUCCGGGUGUUGGAAGUCCCGGUUCAAGCUGGUAGUUCAUUGAUGUUUCCAGGUAAAUCCGGAAACGGAGAAUGAGAAGCGACAACGACCGCUUUUUCGGAAGCGGGAAGCAAGUGACGCACGCUCCCAAGAAAAGCCUCUAAGCUUCAGUCAUGCGAGGAUCGUACCGCAAACCGACACUGGUGGACAGGAAGAAUAUUCCAAGGCGCUUGAGAGAACUCGGGUGAAGGAACUCGGCAAAAUGAUACCGUAACUUCGGGAGAAGGUAUGCCCCGACAAUGUGAAGUCCCUCGCGGACGGAGCAGUAAGGGGUCGAAGAGAAUUGGUGGCUGCGACUGUUUACUAAAAACACAGCACUCUGCAAACACGAAAGUGGAAGUAUAGGGUGUGACGCCUGCCCAAUGCCGGAAGGUUAAUUGACGGGGUUAGCCCUUAUGGGCGAAGCUCCUGAUCGAAGCCCCGGUCAAUGGCGGCCGUAACUAUAACGGUCCUAAGGUAGCGAAAUUCCUUGUCGGGUAAGUUCCGACCUGCACGAAUGGCGUAACGACUGCUCCGGUGUCUCCAGCGUGGGCUCAGCGAAAUUGAAUUCUCCGUGAAGAUGCGGAGUACCCGCGGUUAGACGGAAAGACCCUAUGCACCUUUACUACAGCUUUGCGCUGACGCCAGAAUUUAUCUGUGUAGGAUAGGCGGGAGACUUUGAAGUUGCGGCGCCAGCCGUGAUGGAGUCGUCCUUGAAAUACCGCCCUGAUGGAUUUUGGUGUCUAACCUUGUUCUGUUAUCCAGAAUGGGGACACCGUAUGGUGGGUAGUUUGACUGGGGCGGUCGCCUCCUAAAGAGUAACGGAGGCGCGCAAAGGUGGGCUCAGUUCGGUCGGAAACCGAACGGCGAGUGCAAUGGCAUAAGCCUGCUUAACUGUGAGAGCGACAGCUCGAGCAGAGACGAAAGUCGGUCAUAGUGAUCCGGUGGUUCUGUGUGGAACGGCCAUCGCUAAACGGAUAAAAGGUACGCUAGGGAUAACAGGCUAAUCUCCCCCAAGAGUUCUCAUCGACGGGGAGGUUUGGCACCUCGAUGUCGACUCAUCGCAUCCUGGGGCUGUAGCAGGUCCCAAGGGUAUGGCUGUUCGCCAUUUAAAGCGGUACGCGAGUUGGGUUCAGAACGUCGUGAGACAGUUUGGUCCCUAUCUGCCGUGGGUGUUGGAAACUUGAAAGGGGCUGUCCCUAGUACGAGAGGACCGGGAUGGACGUACCUCUGGUGUUCCGAUUGUGGCGCCAGCCGCACUGUCGGGUAGCUAAGUAUGGGAACGAUAACCGCUGAAAGCAUCUAAGCGGGAAGCGUGCCUUGAGACUGGGUUUCCUUUGAGGGUUGUUGCAGACUACGACUUUGAUAGGCUUGGGGUGGAAGCGCAGUGAUGUGUGAAGCUGACGAGUACUAAUUGCCCGAAG
rnacentral:rRNA from 1 species